rnacentral:rRNA from 1 species
AAAGGAAUUGACGGGGGCCCGCACAAGCGGUGGAGCAUGUGGUUUAAUUCGAUGAUACGCGAGGAACCUUACCUGGGCUCAAAUGUAUGUUGACGUAUUCUGAAAGGGAUACUUCUUCGGACAAUAUACAAGGUGCUGCAUGGUUGUCGUCAGCUCGUGCCGUGAGGUGUCGGGUUAAGUCCCAUAACGAGCGCAACCCCUAUCAUUAGUUGCCAUCAGGUCAAGCUGGGGACUCUAAUGAAACUGCCUACGCAAGUAGUGAGGAAGGUGGGGAUGACGUCAAAUCAGCACGGCCCUUACGUCCAGGGCUACACACGUGCUACAAUGGCUGAUACAGAGGGCAGCUACCUGGUGACAGGAUGCAAAUCUCCAAAGUCGGUCUCAGUUCGGAUCGGAGUCUGCAACCCGACUCCGUGAAGUUGGAUUCGCUAGUAAUCGCGCAUCAGCCAUGGCGCGGUGAAUACGUUCCCGGGCCUU